rnacentral:tRNA from 1 species
GCCGCCUUAGCUCAGUCGGUAGAGCAUCGCAUUCGUAAUGCGGGGGUCACGUGUUCGAGUCACGUAGGCGGCACCA